CAGCUGUGAAGGGGAUGCAUUUGAAGGAGGAAACGCCGGAGGAAGUAAGAGUUUUUCAACACCGUUGGGACAAUUACUGACAUCUAGAAUACUCAAAGGAAUAUAUAACAAGACUAGGAGUACACCAGAAAAAAAAUUGAAAAUGGUAACUGCUUAUUUUGUCAUAGAAAUGGACAUGUUUAUUUUAAGAAAAUCAUUUUAAGCUAUCUUUUCUUUGUUUUUUAGACAAAGUCUCUGUCUGUCACCCAGGUUGGAGUGCAGUGGUGUGAUCAGUUCACUGUAACCUCAAACUCCUGGACUCAAGGGAUUCUCUUGCCUCUGCCUCCCCAGCAGCUGGGACUACAGACAUGUACCACCACACUUGGCUCAUUUAAAAAAUAAUUUGUAGAGAAGGGGGUCUCACUUUGUUGCCCAUGCUGGUAUCAGGCUACUACAUUUAUCGUGCUUAUUAAAGUUGCAGACUUCUUCCAGGAAUGGCAGACUGUGUAAUUGGGACCAGCUCUAUUGAUAAGAACAACUAGAAAAAUUGGGUAAUUUUUUAAACAAAUUUUAAUUCACUUUUGAAGUGAAUUAAUAAAGGCAAAAAAAAACAGUGAAGAUUUUAGAGUUUGGGAUCUAGGGAAAACUAAGCCCUCAGGCAUUUCGACCUGCUUUUUCCCUAGUUGUGGAAAAAGGAGAGGCUGGCUCAGCACAUUUGGCAACUUCACAAGGCUGAAGAGAUGGGAAUUGAGAUCAAGUCCUUUCAAGAUGCAGUAGCCUUAAUGAAUCUUCCUCACUUGGAGGUGAGACUCCUAAGAACUGUACCCUAGAAGAAAUAAUCCCUGGAUGACAGAUCUUCCCAGGGAUUAUCUGGAUUGAGGAAACACUGAGAGACUGCUGCUAGAUUGCACAGAGAAUAUGGAAGAAAUAAAACACUGAAGUUUUGGGCCUAAGCCAAUGGAAGAUUGAUGUUGCUAUUAAUUGAGAUGUCAAAGACUAAGUGAAGAUCAUGAACUCAGUUUUGUACACGUUAGACAAUAAGUGUCUGAAAGUUGAAAGAAUGUCUGGAGAAGAGGUGAAAAUUCUGAAGUCAUCAACAUUUAGAUGAUAUUUAAAGCCAGCAGAUGGAUGACAUUAUCAAUAGUGUCAAUAGAGAUAGAAAAAGACAAGGUUCAGGAUCCUGGCCCUGGAGUAAUCAAGCAUUAAGAUGCCAGGAAGAUGGCAAGUGAACGAUAAUAAAGACUGAAAAGUGGCCAAAAACAAAGGAGGAAAACCAGGCAAGUGGGCUAUCCUAAUGCCAAAUGAGUGCAUUUACGGACAGCCAGAGCCAGCUCAACCCACACUACUGGACAGUUAUCUCUCAGCC
rnacentral:lncRNA from 1 species